CCCGCGGAGCGCACAGGGAGUCGUCGCACCCAACGGGAAGGAUUAAGAAGGGUCAAUCCAGGCGAUCCGUGGGCGAAAUCUGUUCGAUCGUUGGGUUUCUCUCCUCUUCGGAAUCGUUUCUCGGUUUUGGGGUUCAUCACUCGAGCUUGAUACGAGAAAGCACAACAAGAACCAAGCUUCAAUUAGCUGAGCAAUGGAGGUAUAUGGCAAAUCUAUGAUUGCCGAGCCAAGCAAUGUGAUUUACUUGUCCAGUAUUCUUAACAAGGAAGGGCUGAUUCCUAGUCACAAAUGUGACAAGAGGUGCCAAAACGAACAUGUGUUUGGGAACAUGUACCGCUGCAAACUAACAGGACUGACACACAUCUGCGAUAAAAAUUGUGAGCAGAGGAUUUUGUACGAUAACCAUAGUUCUCUUUGCAGAGUGAGCGGCCAGUUUUUUCCUCUUUCGCCAGCAGAAGAGCAGGCGGUGAGAGGAGUCCGAAGGAAGCUGGAAGUGACAAAUACCGAUGGCUGUGCUUUUAAGCGCAGGCGCGAUGCCCAGCUGCAUCCUUCUCCCUUCGAGAGGAUCUUUUCUGCAGUCUCUCCAAUAUGCAGUCAAAUUGGAGAUGGCAUGGAUAUGAGUUAGAGCUGAUUAGUUCCAUUUCUUUCCCUUCUCCCUUUCUUUUCCCCCAGCCAUCUUUGUUCUGGAUGGAAUCAAGGGCUUCUAUUUUAUUAUGGAACUUGGAACUGAACUAUUUUGUCAAGGGUGCAACAGGAUGAGGGCAGUCAGAUCUCUUACCAUAAGACAUGAGAAAGCGACUUCUUUUAUAUGGCUUGUGAUGAGAUUCUUUCAUCAGAUCCUGAUACCUUGGAAUGUAUUGGUGGUCGGGCUAGAGAACCCUUUGC